GCCGGAGCGCGCAUUCAUCGCCAGCACGCUGCCGAUGAAGGUCCAGCGGUCCGCGGUGAUCACGCCGGUGCGCUGAAGAAUGUCGCCGAUGUCGGUCAUGCCGGCACGCGGCGGGAUAUUGACGACCUUGUCUUCCGCAAGCGGACCUUUGGCCUCGAUCGUCUUCUUGCCGUAGAAGAAGACGCCGCCCGCGAUCAGCAUUGCGACGAUCAGAAACGUGAAGAUGGCAUUGCCGACCACGACC
rnacentral:misc_RNA from 1 species